UGAAUGACGUGCUUGCACUGAUUUCAACAAUGAAGCGAGUGGCGAACUGGUGAGUAACACGUGGGAAAUCUGCCCAGAAGCAGGGGAUAACACUUGGAAACAGGUGCUAAUACCGUAUAACAACAAAAUCCGCAUGGAUUUUGUUUGAAAGGUGGCUUCGGCUAUCACUUCUGGAUGAUCCCGCGGCGUAUUAGUUAGUUGGUGAGGUAAAGGCCCACCAAGACGAUGAUACGUAGCCGGCCUGAGAGGGUAAUCGGCCACAUUGGGACUGAGACACGGCCCAAACUCCUACGGGAGGCAGCAGUAGGGAAUCUUCCACAAUGGACGAAAGUCUGAUGGAGCAAUGCCGCGUGAGUGAAGAAGGGUUUCGGCUCGUAAAACCCUGUUGUUAAAGAAGAACACCUUUGAGAGUAACUGUUCAGGGGUUGACGGUAUUUAACCAGAAAGCCACGGCUAACUACGUGCCAGCAGCCGCGGUAAUACGUAGGUGGCGAGCGUUGUCCGGAUUUAUUGGGCGUAAAGCGAGCGCAGGCGGUUUUUUAAGUCUGAUGUGAAAGCCUUCGGCUUAACCGGAGAAGUGCAUCGGAAACUGGGAGACUUGAGUGCAGAAGAGGACAGUGGAACUCCAUGUGUAGCGGUGGAACGCGUAGAUAUAUGGAAGAACACCAGUGGCGAAGGCGGCUGUCUAGUCUGUAACUGACGCUGAGGCUCGAAAGCAUGGGUAGCGAACAGGAUUAGAUACCCUGGUAGUCCAUGCCGUAAACGAUGAGUGCUAAGUGUUGGAGGGUUUCCGCCCUUCAGCGCCGCAGCUAACGCAUUAAGCACUCCGCCUGGGGAGUACGACCGCAAGGUUGAAACUCAAAGGAAUUGACGGGGGCCCGCACAAGCGGCGGAGCAUGUGGUUUAAUUCGAAGCUACGCGAAGAACCUUACCAGGUCUUGACAUCUUCUGCCAAUCUUAGCGAUAAGACGUUCCCUUCGGGGACAGAAUGACAGGUGGUGCAUGGUUGUCGUCAGCUCGUGUCGUGAGAUGUUGGGUUAAGUCCCGCAACGAGCGCAACCCUUAUUAUCAGUUGCCAGCAUUCAGUUGGGCACUCUGGUGAGACUGCCGGUGACAAACCGGAGGAAGGUGGGGAUGACGUCAAAUCAUCAUGCCCCUUAUGACCUGGGCUACACACGUGCUACAAUGGACGGUACAACGAGUCGCGAAGUCGU
rnacentral:rRNA from 2 species